CCAGGCAGGUGUUUCCAGCACCCAGCCACCAAUGGGCCCUUGCCAGCCAUGUGCAGAAUAAUUGUUUUCAGUGUGCACCGAGGCGUGUAGGCUGCGCACCACCAGGAGACACAGGCUGGCGGCUGCGGGCGCUCUGCCAAUCAGUCGGGCCGCACUGGACUCUGAGCAGCCACAUAAGUGCACAGCUUACAGGAAACCCUGUAACAGGUGCCAAGGCUGCUUUGGGACAGAGGGAGGCGCUGGCGUUCCCGGCGGGAGACCAGGACCCGGCUUUUCCCUGAACGGCUGCAGGAGGCCACACAGGAUGACAGGGAAAUCCUUUGAGGAAAAAAUCGCCCGGGUGUUGGCGUACAAGAGGAGACUCAGUUACCCUGAAGGAAUGAAUAAAUACGGCAGAUUCAACCUGCGUCGAUUUGCUGCCAAAUUUUCUUUGGAAGGCAAGCAAAACGUUCACAGCGCGUCCUGAUUUCUCCCCUCCCUGCCCCGGGUGUUCACCGGACCUUCACUGGGGGCCACUGGUUUUCUUCCCCUCUCCCAAAAUGUCUCCCUUGCUGCGUCUGUAGGCGCUGCUACAAAUGCGCACAUGGGGACCCCUCGCCCGGCAUUGGGGUGCGUAGGUACCAGUUCCAC